GGAAAGCUGCCAGAGAGGUCGAUCGGGCCGCACUCGAAAUGCGGUGAACGGGUAACUGUUCCGGGGGUUCGAAUCCCUCGCUUUCCGCAA
rnacentral:tRNA from 1 species